rnacentral:rRNA from 1 species
UACGAAGGGGGGCUAGCGUUGCUCGGAAUCACUGGGCGUAAAGCGCACGUAGGCGGAUCUUUAAGUCAGGGGUGAAAUCCUGGAGCUCAACUCCAGAACUGCCUUUGAUACUGGGGAUCUCGGAGUCCGGAAGAGGUGAGUGGAACUCCGAGUGUAGAGGUGAAAUUCGUAGAUAUUCGGAAGAACACCAAGUGGCGAAGGGCGGCUCACUGGUCCGGUACUGACGCUGAGGUGCGAAAGCGAUGGGGA